GGGCCCGCACAAGCGGUGGAGCAUGUGGUUUAAUUCGACGCAACGCGAAGAACCUUACCCAGGCUUGACAUGCACUGGACGGGUGUGGAAACACACCUUCCCUUCGGGGCCGGUGCACAGGUGCUGCAUGGCUGUCGUCAGCUCGUGUCGUGAGAUGUUGGGUUAAGUCCCGCAACGAGCGCAACCCUUGCCCUUAGUUGCUAUCAGGUAAUGCUGAGCUCUCUAAGGGGACUGCCGGUGAUAAACCGGAGGAAGGUGGGGAUGAUGUCAAGUCCUCAUGGCCCUUACGCCUGGGGCUACACACGUGCUACAAUGGCCGGUACAAAGGGUUCCGAAGUCGCGAGAUAGAGGCAAUCCCAAAAAACCGGUCUCAGUUCGGAUUGCAGUCUGCAACUCGACUGCAUGAAGUUGGAAUCGCUAGUAAUCGCUGAUCAGCAGGCAGCGGUGAAUACGUUCCCGGGCCUU
rnacentral:rRNA from 1 species